rnacentral:snRNA from 1 species
CGCUUGGUAUUAUUAAGAGUGCAAUGAAAAUUGUAACAAUACAGAAAAGAUUAGCUGGCCCCUGUACAAGAAGGACAUGCAAAUUUGUGAAGUGCUCCAUGUUUGU